AUUAGUUAAAUGGCCUUUAUUGUUUUGCCUAAGAGAGGUCAAUUAAUCACCCAAAGUGUUACCUGACAGUAAUUAACAAUCAGCAGAGACAAAGUACCACUUCAUUAGUGAUUUUUGGCACCAAGGAAAGGGUGAGAAAAACACAAGUGUGGCAGCUCACCAGAGCAGACCUCCAGAAACCUUCACGCUGGAAUCCAUCUUAGCUGAGAGAUGAGCGGGCAACACCAGGAAGGACCCAGAGUCAGGCCAAAUGUGGGCACAAACAACAUGACUGGGCAGAAACAACCCGGAAGACUGCCCCCAUAAGAGAAGCCACCCUUACUGCGCACAACUCACUCCAAGUUCACCCAUGUGCUCUUCCACAUGUACUUUUUGCUUCUAAUAAACGCUGUA